GACGAACGCUGGCGACGUGCUUAACACAUGCAAGUCGAACGAGAUCCAUGUUGUAGCAAUACUUCGGAAGAUCUAGUGGCGAACGGGUGAGGAACACGUGAGGAGCCUGCCCCGGACUUCGGGAUAACAGUUGGAAACGAUUGCUAAUACCGAAUACCUCUGCGAAGUGGCAUCACUUUGCAAAGAAAGAAUUUCGGUCCGGGAGGGUCUCGCGGCCUAUCAGCUAGUUGGUGGGGUAACGGCCUACCAAGGCAUCGACGGGUAGCUGGUCUGAGAGGAUGAUCAGCCACACUGGGACUGAGACACGGCCCAGACUCCUACGGGAGGCAGCAGUGGGGAAUCUUGUGCAAUGGGCGAAAGCCUGACACAGCAACGCCGCGUGCGGGAAGAAGGCCUUCGGGUCGUAAACCGCUUUCAGCAGGAACGAAAAUGACGGUACCUGCAGAAGAAGGUGCGGCCAACUACGUGCCAGCAGCCGCAGUAA
rnacentral:rRNA from 1 species